GAUGAAGAACGCAGUGAAAUGCGAUAAGUAAUGUGGAUUGCAGAAUUCAGUGAAUCAUCGAAUCUUUGAACGCACAUUGCGCCCGCCAGUAUUCUGGCGGGCAUGCCUGUUCGAGCGUCAUUUCAACCCUCAGGCCCCCAGUGCCUGGUGUUGGGGAUCGGCCCAGCCUUCCUGUAAGGCCGCCGGCCCCGAAAUCUAGUGGCGGUCUCGCUGUAGUCCUCCUCUGCGUAGUAGCACAACCUCGCAGUUGGAACGCGGCGGUGGCCAUGCCGUUAAACACCCCACUUCUGAAAGUUGACCUCGGAUCAGGUAGGAAUACCCGCUGAACUUAAGCAUAUCAAUAAGCGGAGGA
rnacentral:misc_RNA from 1 species